rnacentral:rRNA from 1 species
UACGUAGGGUGCAAGCGUUGUCCGGAAUUAUUGGGCGUAAAGAGCUCGUAGGUGGUCUGUCGCGUCGGCUGUGAAAACUCGGGGCUCAACCCCGAGCCUGCAGUCGAUACGGGCAGACUUGAGUGCGGUAGGGGAGACUGGAAUUCCUGGUGUAGCGGUGAAAUGCGUAGAUAUUGCUCGGAAGGCCAACGGCGAAGGCAGGUUACUGGUACGCAACUGACACUGAGGCACGAAAGCGUGGGGAGCAAACAGG